CAGUCGCCACGGUAAUACAGAGGGUGCGAGCGUUAAUCGGAUUUACUGGGCGUAAAGCGUGCGUAGGCGGCUUCUUAAGUCGGAUGUGAAAUCCCUGAGCUUAACUUAGGAAUUGCAUUCGAUACUGGGAAGCUAGAGUAUGGGAGAGGUUGGUAGAAUUCCAGGUGUAGCGGUGAAAUGCGUAGAGAUCUGGAGGAAUACCGAUGGCGAAGGCAGCCAUCUGGCCUAAUACUGACGCUGAGGUACGAAAGCAUGGGGAGCAAACAGGAUUAGAUACCCGUGUAGUCCCUGUCUCUUAUAC
rnacentral:rRNA from 1 species